CACGUAGGGGCCAAGCGUUGUCCGGAUUCAUUGGGCGUAAAGAGCUCGUAGGCGGUUCAGUUAGUCGGGUGUGAAAUCUCCGGGCUCAACCCGGAGGGGCCACCCGAUACUGCUGUGACUCGAGUCCGGUAGGGGAGUGGGGAAUUCCUGGUGUAGCGGUGAAAUGCGCAGAUAUCAGGAGGAACACCGGUGGCGAAGGCGCCACUCUGGGCCGGUACUGACGCUGAGGCGCGAAAGCGUGGGGAGCGAACAGG
rnacentral:rRNA from 1 species